AAACUUUUCAAACUUUUUAAACUUUUCAAACUUUUCAGACUUUUUAAACUUUUCAAACUUUCUGGUCCGGCUUUCUCAAGCCAACUUAAAGUUUGUCUUGACAAACUUUUUUAUCUAGUUUCCCUUGUUCUCGUGUUUUCCCGUGUUUAGUUCUCUCGCCUGGUCAUCUCGUUUUCGACUGUCUCGCCGCCUGCCUUUUUGGACUAUCGCUCGUUAUAAGGAUUAUUCGCUCGUCUCGCCUCUGACUCACCUGUUUGCUGUUGUUUUGACCCUACCUGUUUUCAACCAUGUAUCUGUCUCGUUCCUCUUAAUAAAAGCUAGCGAAUGGAUCCGCUCGCCUCUUGUCUCACUCAUUCCGUUACAAUUAUAGUAUAACCUUUUUUUUUUUUUUUUUUUUUUUUUGUUAAUAAUUAGAGUUAAUAAUACCUUAAAAUAUUAGUAUUAUUAUGUUUUAAGUAUUAUUACGUUAAGAGCUAAAAGUGUUGUUGUUUUAGGAUGUUACAGAUUACAUUAUGAACAUUUUAUAACAUUAAUAUGUAAAUCUAUAUAUAAUAACUUGUUGGAUUAUGUAGCAACUCACAAUGUAAGUGUAAGUUUUGUAAAACUCUAUGUCUUCUUCUGCCCUGAAUGCUAAAUCAAGUUUAACACUGACUGUUGGAUCAUCUGAGAUUGGUGAUUUCAAGACUGCCGGGCUCGAACAAAUGUUGGUGAUUGCAGUAAACGUGUUCGCACUUCCAAAACUAAAUGAUUACCUAAAGACUGGCUUUCCCCUACCCACACUGCAGAGCUUUAGUUUGAUUAAUUCUAAAUUGCUUAUAAAAAACGGCUUUGUGGUCAUUUUAACAGAUGUUGAAGAUUCUUGGAUAGUCUCAGUGAAAACUAAGGUUCAAACAAAAUGAUCACUUCAUUGGAGUCCAAGUAAAAUGGCUUGCAGGGAAGGGUGGUGUGAUGUCUUACAGCUCAGUUCAGAGGAAGAUUAUUUGUUUUGUGAAAAUAAAUUAACAUAUUGAGUCCUUAGAACACAACAUAAAUGUGACAGAUACACACACACACACACCUACACACACAUUCAUAUGCUCUUCCAUCACAAUAUGUAACAUAUAGCAUACUAACUCUUUUACUAAACACAUAUACAAACAAUAAAUAGAUUUGCACUGAUGCUUGUGGUGUAUAUUGCACAAAUAAAUACAUAAAUGGAAUGGUACUCUUAAUAAGCUAUGGCAAAUAAGACAUUAUGUGUGUUGACUGAGAGUGUGGAUGGCCUUAGGGUAAAAACUGUUGAUAAAUCUGGAGGUCUGUGUUUUGAUUUAUCUGAAAUGUCUUCCUGAGGCCAAAAGGUGAAACAAAGAGUAGCUGGGGUGGAAACAGUCUGUAACAAUCUUUUUUGCUCUUGAAAGGUAGUGGGUGUUCGCUAUAUCCUGUAGUGUGGGAAGAGGGCAGCUGAUGAUUAUCUCUGCUGUGUCAAUGACCCUCUGUAGUGCAUUUUGUCCGCUGCUGUGCAGCCAGCAUACCACACUGUGAGGCAAUAUGUUAGAAUGCUCUCUAUUGCAAACAGUAGAAGGUCACCAGCAGUUUCCUUCUUAAAUUAUACUUUUUUUAGAACACGCAAAAAGUGCAAGCAUUAACUGUGGUGUUUGCAGACCAGGAGAUAUUGUUAGAAAUGUGGGUUCCCAAGAAUUUAAAAUUGUAAAUUCUUUCCACGCAGUCUCCAUUUAUGAAAAUGGGAGAGGGAUCAGAUCUGCACUUCCUAAAAUCUAAAAUAAUUUUCUAUUUUUCUCCUUUUUUAACAUCUCUUUUUUGUGUUCAAUUUGAUAAUACAAUAUUAAAAACACAUGAAAUAACACUUCAUUUCAACAUUUGCUUUAAUUGAGUUCCCAUUUUUUUUCUCUAUGCAAUGUAAUUUAAUAGUCAAUUUACAGUAAAUUACAGCAGUUUUGACAGCAGUAUAUUUCUGUUUUAUUAUGGUUUGUUUGCUUUAAACACAAUUUACAAUUUAAUGCUGUUUAACCCCACUGCAAAACCUUGUAGUGUCCACAAAGAGUAAAAGUGUUGCAGUUAAUUAGAUUAUUAACUGAAUAUUUAAGUGCUGAUUGAGCAUUAGUUCAACAUUAAUUGUUAACAAGCAGAAUCACUGAAGGAAAGUGAAACAUAAUGACUACAACUUCUAGCCACAGGCUUAGAUGAAAGUAGCUGAAAUAAAAAGACAUUAAUCUCUUAAAGAUCUCUGCAGAGAAUAAUUAAUCAUCUCCACAAACAGCAUACUUAUUGCUAACCACUUUGACUUUUUUUUCUUUUAGAAGUCUACAAAAGUUCUUAGUGAGAAUUAUAGAGGUUUAGAUGUUGAUGUUUUAUUGAGUUUUGUUUGAAGUUACCGUAAUAGCAGCUAGUCUAGUCAAGUCAAGUCACCAUUAUUUAUACACCGCUUUUAACGAUACACAAUUGUGACAAAGCGUCUGUACAGUGUUAAAUAGGAAAUAUUGCAUCAAUAAUGCCAAAGGGCAAUAGUAAACACUCAAUUUUCAGGUAAAGACAGUUCAUCAUUGGAUUCAAUGAUGUCAUCAUCUAGCUCAGUUCAGUUCAAAUAGUAUACGAUAUCAUUUGAAGAAAAAGUGUCUCCAACUAAGCAAACCAGAGGUGACAGCGGCAAGGAACCAAAACUCCAUCGGUGACAGAAUAGCCAUCUAGGUGACGAGGUCUUCACUGGGGAUCCGUCUCUGGGGCUCAUCUAGUCGAUGUGGUCUCCGCUGACAUUCAGGGCCAUAGAGGUUGUCUCUAGGUGCUGAUCCACCAUCUGGGCUGGGUACAGACUGGAUCAGGGGAUUGCAGUGACCAUCUGAUCUGGAUACAGGCUGGAUCUGGUGGUUACGGUGGCCUCAGAAUAAGAAAGAAACAGACUAA